UACGAAGGGGGCUAGCGUUGCUCGGAAUCACUGGGCGUAAAGCGCACGUAGGCGGCUUUCUAAGUCAGGGGUGAAAUCCUGGAGCUCAACUCCAGAACUGCCUUUGAUACUGGAGAGCUUGAGUCCGGAAGAGGUGAGUGGAACUCCCAGUGUAGAGGUGAAAUUCGUAGAUAUUGGGAAGAACACCGGUGGCGAAGGCGGCGCUCUGGACCGAGACUGACGCUGAGGCGCGAAGGCGUGGGGAGCAAACAGG
rnacentral:rRNA from 1 species